AACUUUUAACAACGGAUCUCUUGGCUCUCGCAUCGAUGAAGAACGCAGCGAAAUGCGAUAAGUCAUGUGAAUUGCAGAAUUCAGUGAAUCAUCGAAUCUUUGAACGCACCUUGCGCUCCUUGGUAUUCCGAGGAGCAUGCCUGUUUGAGUGUCA
rnacentral:rRNA from 1 species